CUGACUGCUAUCGGAUUGAUACUAAGCCAUGCGAGUCUUGUAGUAAUACAGGCAGACGGCUCAGUAACGCGUAGUCAACCUAACCUAUGGACGGGAAUAACCUCGGGAAACUGAGUAUAAUGCCCGAUAGAACAUUAUGCCUGGAAUGGUUUAUGUUCCAAAUGAUUUAUCGCUGUAGGAUGGGACUGCGGCCUAUCAGUUUGUUGGUGAGGUAAUGGCCCACCAAGACUAUUACGGGUACGGGCUCUGAGAGGAGUAGCCCGGAGAUGGGUACUGAGACACGGACCCAGGCCCUAUGGGGCGCAGCAGGCGAGAAAACUUUGCAAUGUGCGAAAGCACGACAAGGUUAAUCCGAGUGGUUUCUGCUAAAGGAACCUUUUGUCGGUCCUAGAAACACCGAUGAAUAAGGGGUGGGCAAGUUCUGGUGUCAGCCGCCGCGGUAAAACCAGCACCUCAAGUGGUCAGGAUGAUUAUUUGGGCCUAAAGCAUCCGUAGCCGGCUCUGUUAGUUUUCGGUUAAAUCUGUACGCUCAACGUACAGGCUGCCGGGAAUACUGCAAAGCUAGGGAGUGGGAAGAGGUAGACGGUCCUCGGUAGGAAGGGGUAAAAUCCUUUGGACCUAUUNGAUGA
rnacentral:rRNA from 1 species